rnacentral:lncRNA from 1 species
AACGAGAUUACGCGAUUAAUGUAUCUAAAAAUAGAAGAAUCACGGUUUGUGUUGUGUGAAAUUUUAGACACAGGGCAAUUAAUCGACUAGCACGAUUCGACUACUUCAAGACUCGUGAUCAGACUAACUAGAAGGGAUCGCCAAGCUAAGGAAUUUGGAAUGGGUCAAGGCACUUCUGGACAGCCGAAUAAUAUGGAACUGCACUUUACCGUGAUACAACUUUUGCUCAUUCAUCGUCAACAUGGAACGGAGGAAUAAUUGGAUCACAGAUGCAUGCAAUAAAUAAACUUAUACAUAAAAAU